CCUACGGGUGGCAGCAGUGAGGAAUAUUGGUCAAUGGGCGCGAGCCUGAACCAGCCAAGUAGCGUGAAGGAGGACGGCCCUACGGGUUGUAAACCUCUUUUGUAAAGGAAUAAAGUGAGGCACGUGUGCCUGUUUGUGUGUACUUUAAGAAAAAGGAUCGGCUAACUCCGUGCCAGCAGCCGCGGUAAUACGGAGGAUGCGAGCGUUAUCCGGAUUUAUUGGGUUUAAAGGGAGCGUAGGUGGGUUGUUAAGUCAGUUGUGAAAGUUUGCGGCUCAACCGUGAAAUUGCAGUUGAAACUGGCAGUCUUGAGUACAGGUGAGGUAGGCGGAAUUCGUGGUGUAGCGGUGAAAUGCUUAGAUAUCACGAAGAACUCCGAUUGCGAAGGCAGCUUACUAACCUGCCACUGACGUUGAUGCACGAAAGUGUGGGUAUCAAACAGGAUUAGAUACCCUAGUAGUC
rnacentral:rRNA from 1 species